AUUGAACGCUGGCGGCAGGCCUAACACAUGCAAGUCGAGCGGAUGAAGGGAGCUUGCUCCUGGAUUCAGCGGCGGACGGGUGAGUAAUGCCUAGGAAUCUGCCUGGUAGUGGGGGAUAACGUCCGGAAACGGGCGCUAAUACCGCAUACGUCCUGAGGGAGAAAGUGGGGGAUCUUCGGACCUCACGCUAUCAGAUGAGCCUAGGUCGGAUUAGCUAGUUGGUGGGGUAAAGGCCUACCAAGGCGACGAUCCGUAACUGGUCUGAGAGGAUGAUCAGUCACACUGGAACUGAAACACGGUCCAGACUCCUACGGGAGGCAGCAGUGGGGAAUAUUGGACAGUGGGCGCGAGCCUGAUCCAGCCAUGCCGCGUGUGUGAAGAAGGUCUUCGGAUUGUGAAGCACUAUAAGUUGGGGGGAAGGGCAGUAAGUUAAUACCUUGCUGUUUUGACGGUACCAACAGAAUAAGCACCGGCUAACUUCGUG
rnacentral:rRNA from 1 species